UCCAAAUUGUUUAUUUGAUUUCCCAAUUUCUAAUUGACCGUUCAACUCGGAAAAUUUGUAAUCUCAAAGAAUUUCUAUUAUCAUGACAUCCAUUUUGGUCCAGGAUGAUUUUGGCGUUCACCUAGUUACGCCAAUGUGGCUUCCGUUAUAGAUCCCCUCGAGCCAACCGGAAUAAACCGAGAGCAACGUGUAACGACAAAGGGAAUCCUUUGAUCGAAAGAAUCAGCCACGAAGACGAGUUUAAACGAAUUAUUAUCGGAGAAGGCGCGUGUACGUCGCGGAACGAGGUCGCAAGAGCGACGGUAAUUUCAGCGAAUUCGCGAUACUUCUAAUGUCAAACGAUCCACCGUCUGAGAAGCAGGUAAGCGACGCUGAUGAGUCCAAUUAGCAAAUCGCAAACGAAACACGCAACUUCUCUUUUCGCCGAGUUUACGUUCCUCUGAAGUAAAGGCGUUUACGAGUCUCGGAAAAUUCAAUCUUCCGUAUGAAAACUUCGACUCGUUCAAUCUACGAACCGCAGGAUACUGGGAGAUCAGGUUCGAUAAUUUCGCUCGAUUCUAGCACGAAAGUUUCUCUUCAAGAUGGCGGAAGUUGAUUUCGAAUCGAAGAGUAUCCUAGAAAAAGGUAUGCUCGAAGAAUAUUACGGGUAAAGUGUACUCGAGUUUCUUUUCCACGAACACGUCGAAGCCGACGACGUCGCGGAGACGGCUGUCCGCGUGCAAAGCGAGCGGAAACGCGAGGGAGGAAGAGGGUAGGGCAAUGUAAUUAAAAUAUCGUUCGCUACGAUCGUAGCUCGAAAGCCGGCAAUUCGAUGUUCGUGGCUCGUGCACCGGCAGUACUCGACGUUUUUCUUGUCCGCGUUUAAUCCGCGUGAGUGCACGACAGAGAAGAACAGCUGCGGGCAAACGCGGGGAAAGAAUCAGUCCCCGACGCGACGCGUCUGCCCGAAGAUCCGUGGGAUUAGCGUGGCGACGUUGUUCUAAGUUCGGGACAUGUUUGGAGAACAACGCAGAGGGGUGUGCGUGGGCGUAUGGCGAAAAGCCAACGCCAGGCAGACACUCCGUUUUCUACGACCCGACCAGACAAAUCGUUCGACCUACAGGCUCGUUCAUAUAUCCUUAACAACUACGUACUAAAUCAUUCACUAGUUAGAUAAUUAAAUCUCUAGCUUCAUGAACACCUACAUACGUACAUCUCUAGUUCCUUAAAUCACUCGAUAUUUAGAUACUCAGAUCUCCGAAUGUAAAUUCUCGAAUCCCUGUGUUGUGAAAUUCCCGUAUCUCAGAUCUGAAGAACUCCAGUUUCUGUGUUACUAGAUGCCUCAGAUCUUCACAUACCCAAACACGUCCCUAGAUUCCUGCACAUUCGAACUCCUACGUCUCCAGAUCUCUACACACCCCAAAUCUCUGUGACCUCAAACGUCUACGUCUUCAAAUCCGUACAUACUCCAAAUUCCUGCGUUUCUAAAUCCCUACAUACCCCAAAUCCCUGUGUUCCCAAAUUCCUACGUCCCUACGUCCACCGUAUAAAGUUCAGAACGAGAUCGAGGUCGAUUGAUCAACCCACAGGUUCUACAUUCGCUCUUAAACAGAUUAUUAAUCGAGGUGUUAAUUCCUCUAAUCUAUGUCCAAAUCUACUCAUAUUUGAAUUCUCCACACGAAUAUCUCCAUAAGCGAACGUUUCAAAAGGUUCUAUCGGUCAUGAAUAAUAACGACGAAAAUAAAUGGGACGUUGCAAGUGGAACAGCCUGUAUGUACACACGCUUUGUGUCGUAGAGGAGUAUAUGUAGCACGUGUCGUCGACACGAACGCCGGAUGGCCGGCAUUCGGGAGAUAUGUAAGAUUCCAACCGCCCACAUCACGACAAAUUGUUGCUCAGCUGAUCGGGCCGACCCUCUGCUCGUUUAAACUUUAAAUCUUUUUCGGACGGUUCCGUAGAAGCCGGCGGCCCGAUACACAUUCGUAUCGGUCGUGUGAUUCAUGCCACACACCGUUGCCCGUAAUGACAGUCCACUGGCAAAUUGCUGGCUCCGGGACGAUUUCCGAUGAUUUAUCAACCAUCGCCACCCGUGCGUCGAACGCGAUUGUUCUACUUGCGAUAACGGCGAUUGAUACCGGUUAGAGCGAGUACUUUGCUUUUCGAUCAAGCUGAUUGCUCGACAACAUUUAAUUGGAGCCGUUUCGAGGGAACCAUUGCGCAACGGCAGGUGGUUCGUAAUGCCUAGCGCUCGGUAUUCGAGAUUUUGCGUUUCAGAUUCGAUAUCGUGGAUAAACUCUUUAAGCUCUGCUUGCGGGAAGGGUUAAGCUCUUCCAAGAAUUAUCUUCGUAGUAUUAGAUGUCGUUUACGGUUUCGAAAAUGAUCAUUGUAUAUAAUUUCGAUCUUAAGCUCCUGCUAAUCGUUCGAAAUAACGGAGUAAACCGUUGUUAGGUUGCUUAAUGAGCUUACGAUGCUCUUGUUCUACAAAUAUUUGAUGCUUGAAGCAGAGGUUACGUUCACGAAUAUCGCUUUCUGCAAUCGUUUAUCUAUUAAAUUGGUAACAAAAAGUAGCAGGGAUUGAUUAAAAUGGUACAAUUUAUCAAAACGGUGGUAUAAACCUUGGUAUACGAUACAGUUAAUUUACCAUGUCGGUAUAAAUUUGUACGUAUAUGCAAUAAGUGACGUAAACGUCUCCCUGAUCACUGUACGCGCUACGGUUAUAGUAGUUUAUCAGACCGAUUACAUAAAUUUAUUGUACCUCCGUUGUCGCAUAAACUUACGUAUAGUAUCCACAUAGAUAAUUAACGUGUAACAUGUUCAGCUGCUGCAGAGCGUCGAAGAGGGAAGGAUUAAGAAAAAAAAGGAACCGUUUCGUAAUAAGCAGGGCGUGAGAAUCACGUGUCAGAUCGAGAAGAAAAACGAAGGAAUUAAUCGGAGUUAAGUCAGCAUCUCGGAGCACAUUUUACGAGGCAAAGAGUUAACGCGUGGGUGCGACGUAUGUUUCGACCAUGGAGUUUCAUAUCUAUUCGAGCAGGGGCACGUCCGCGUAACGUUCACACGAUGCAAUAUUUCAGAAGGAGGAUCCUAUUACGUAACCAAGUGGUUUCACAUGCUUCCAUGCGGUUUGCUGUAAUCACUGGGCACACGUGAUAAGCCAACCUGCAAAGCUUGCUUUCGGUGCAUAAUUACGCGUGCACGCUCGUUCAACGGUGAAUCGUAAUAAUUAACUCGAUAUAAUUUAAUUAGCAAACCGUUUAAUCGCGAUGGCGAUACUAGAUACAGCUGUAUUAUUUUCGUAACGUGUAAACCACCGUAAACGAUAGCUUUCUACCGAUAAAUCAUCUCCUAAAUCAUGACCUGCGCGCUCGCAAAUUUGCGUAACUGCAACUGAUAAUUAUUAUUAAUGCUCCGUGUAUGGAGUCACGGAUAUUCUUUCUGACGACUCCAGUAUUGCUUAGGUAUCAAGAAUUUAAUUUGGGAUAAAUUAAAAGCAUUUAGAGCGCUAGGAGGAAUUUGGAGAUUUGUGGAACUCGAUACCUACCGCUGUUCGUCUCAAAAGACAUAAACUAGCAAAGAGAAAGAAGCGGAUGCAACGUAAUCGAGCGAUAAGAAGGCUCUAAUCACUGGUAUCGCUGUUAAUGUCUCCGAUAAGGAUGCUCAAAGCCGAAUAAAAAGAUGGCGAAACAAAGAACGACGUUAAUCCUGGAUCUCCGCGGAGCAGAACGAGGAGAGCAUAAGUGGUCCGUUCGUCCGAUGCCAAGGGUAACGCUGCCAGAGUUUAAUGUUUCGAAAAGUAAUACCGAUUUCGCAGGAAAAAGGGGAAGAAAAGCGCACAGCCGUCGAUUCUAAACAAAAGAAUGAUCCAGGCUCGAAAUAACGUGAUCAAUCAUCGAAGAAGUAAGAAAGCUCGCGGCAAGCUGACGUUGAACAGUCUCACAGUCCCGACGGCGCUGCAUCUCGUAAUGAUCCGUAAAAUUCGACCGUUCUCGCAUAAAUUUCCAUAUUUCCUAGGGUGAAGUAUCACGCUUUCUCGAGGUAUUCGGAUUGCAAUACUACCGCUGUGUGUACACCGUGCAACGUCUUCCUUUGGACGGAGACACAUUCGACUACUGUUACAAGUCCCUAGGAACCAAGAUUCGUAUGUUAUCAAAUUUAAAAUUCGUACACGUGGCAAAUCUCUAAAUACAUGUCAGAUCCCAGUCCACAAAUUUCUUAAAUGAGUAUGUGAAAUCUUCGGAAGGUAGCCAGUAGUUCUCGCUUGGAUAUUUCUCGUCGAAGGCAGAUUUUCCGUCGACUGCACGAUAUACAGCCUCGUGACGCAAGAACACUCGGCAAAAGAGGAUCGUACCUUAUUGGAGAGAGGAGAGCUCGGGAUAGGAUGCACAGACGGAACAAUGCAAAUAAGCCAAUUACGUCAAUCCUGAGAAAUCGUCGAGCAAGAAUGAGCAAAUAGAAGCAGAAGAAACGAAAAGGGGCGGGAGAAAAGGAAAGCGACGGAGAUCGCGAAGCUCGAUGAGGCCCACGAGCGCAUGCAACGGAAUGCAUGCGCGAUGCAUUAGGUAAUGAUAUCGGCAUUAUGGCCGAGCCUCGAACGAACGAAAUGACGAACGGGCCGACGGAUUGGAACCGGGCCCCAUCGGGCCCCAUCGAAGGAGGGCCAUGGGGUAAUUAUACAAGCAAACAAGGGGCGGUCCCAGCAAGAUUAUAGGGUACCUCGUAGCUGCCCCUCGCCGUGUCCCUCCUGGCCCCGACGUUUCCACGUAAUUACAGGGCCAAACUGCUCUCCCUUCCAUCCUCCCCUCCAACCUAACCCAACCCCUCCAUCGAUGCCACCCGCUAGUCUCCUUCUCCUUCGUCUUUAACUUCUCCUUCUUCGCUUUUUAGCAUCGAUAUCGACAAUUAAGCUUUGCAGUUGAUACUCAUACCCGGUGAAUGACACUAAAAUUGUCAGGUGCGAAGAAAUUAAAGGUCGGAUACUUUUGGGACAGGCCUCGUACCUUAUCGGUCAUGAGUCUAGAUCAGUGCGAGCCUUCGAGGGAAGAAUCGACUGUGCGAAUGUUAAUCGAUGUACCCGAAUGAUCUUGCACCGAUAGCGCUCGUUGAUGGUCUCGACGCAAGUUAGAGUCGAUUUUCGGACUAGGAACGGUUUCACGGCUCGAUUCGGAGAACGUCCCGAGGUAGAUUGCAGUCAGAGUCGGUUUAUUUUGAAGAGAGCGAAUGCACCGGCGUACGUACAGGAAUUCAAUUUGUUCCUUCGUCGCAAUUACAGAGCCAAAUUGUUCUUCGUGGCAUCCCCGGCCGUACGUCUUUCGCCACUCCUUGGAAAUACCACCGGCUAAUCCGGCGUUUUUCGUUCUCCCUCUUCCACGCGUUUUCGCGUCCUUGCGCUCCUUCGGCUACGGAAAAAGUUUCUUCGCGACUACCUGCGGGGGAGUAUCCGCGAACCGAGCAAAUUCGAACGCGAUAUUUUCGUUGUUUCUCCUGUUUUUUCAACGGCCGUAAUUAAAGUGGUCUCUCGUGGAAUCGUGUAAAAACGUGUAAACACCGUUCGUUGCGCGCGCCAGCGUUCCAUCGUGGCUCGUUUUGUUAAACCGUAUCAAUUUAUGGAGUAAAACGAGACACUCCGUGUAAUUUCGACGAAACGAGCAUCAUGCUACGGAGCCAAACAAUCUUUCAUUAUUCCGAAGCGCACACCCGCUACCCGUAUUUCCGUUCACCGUUAUUUCGCGAAAGCUCUCAUAUUUUUUAGUCGGAUGCGGACAGAAUUUUUUAUACGACACUCCGUCGAUCAUCACCGGAAUUAUUUCGUAAAACAACCGCGUUGCAACUGCUUCGAUAAAUGGCCUGAUUUUCUGCUUUCAUCGAAACAUACUCGCUUUGCGUUAUUAACGAGUGUUAAAUGUUAUAUCGAUUCAAAGUAUUUGGAAAAUUAUCGCAUGUUUUAUUAGAACGCGUAAUACGGGUACUCUGUGAACUUCCCUGUAUGAGACAUCUGUUGAAUAUAACAUUUAUCGGUGAUACAAUACCUUGAA